rnacentral:rRNA from 1 species
GGAAUCUGCCUGGUUGUGGGGGAUAACGUCCGGAAACGGGCGCUAAUACCGCAUACGUCCUGAGGGAGAAAGUGGGGGAUCUUCGGACCUCACGCUAUCAGAUGAGCCUAGGUCGGAUUAGCUAGUUGGUGGGGUAAAGGCCUACCAAGGCGACGAUCCGUAACUGGUCUGAGAGGAUGAUCAGUCACACUGGAACUGAGACACGGUCCAGACUCCUACGGGAGGCAGCAGUGGGGAAUAUUGGACAAUGGGCGAAAGCCUGAUCCAGCCAUGCCGCGUGUGUGAGGAAGGUCUUCGGAUUGUAAAGCACUUUAAGUUGGGAGGAAGGGCAGUAAGUUAAUACCUUGCUGUUUUGACGUUACCAACAGAAUAAGCACCGGCU